CACGUAGGGUGCGAGCGUUGUCCGGAAUUAUUGGGCGUAAAGAGCUCGUAGGCGGUGUGUCGCGUCGGCCGUGAAAACCUGCAGCUUAACUGUGGGCUUGCGGUCGAUACGGGCAUCACUGGAGUUCGGCAGGGGAGACUGGAAUUCCUGGUGUAGCGGUGAAAUGCGCAGAUAUCAGGAGGAACACCAAUAGCGAAGGCAGCUCGCUGGGACGAUACUGACGCUAAGGCGCGAAAGCGUGGGGAGCGAACAGG
rnacentral:rRNA from 1 species